rnacentral:rRNA from 1 species
UACAGAGGUCCCAAGCGUUGUUCGGAUUCACUGGGCGUAAAGGGUGCGUAGGCGGUCGGGUAAGUCUGAUGUGAAAUCUCACAGCUUAACUGUGAAACUGCAUUGGAUACUAUUCGGCUAGAGAGUUGGAGGGGGGACUGGAAUUCUUGGUGUAGCAGUGAAAUGCGUAGAUAUCAAGUGGAACACCAGUGGCGAAGGCGAGUCUCUGGACAUUUCCUGACGCUGAGGCACGAAAGCCAGGGGAGCAAACGGG